UACGGAGGGAGCUAGCGUUGUUCGGAAUUACUGGGCGUAAAGCGCGCGUAGGCGGCUUUGUAAGUUAGAGGUGAAAGCCCGGGGCUCAACUCCGGAACUGCCUUUAAGACUGCAUCGCUUGAAUCCGGGAGAGGUGAGUGGAAUUCCCAGUGUAGCGGUGAAAUGCGUAGAUAUUGGGAGGAACACCAGUGGCGAAGGCGGCUCACUGGACCGGUACUGACGCUGAGGCGCGAAAGCGUGGGGAGCAAACGGG
rnacentral:rRNA from 1 species